rnacentral:rRNA from 1 species
ACGUGGUAGGGGAGCAUUCUCCUCGCGGCGAAGCCGCCUCGUCAGGGGCGGUGGAGCGUGGAGAAAAGCAUAUGUAGGCAUGAGUAACGAUAAUGCGGGUGAGAAACCCGCACGCCGAUAGACUAAGGUUUCCAGCUCAACGCUAAUCGGAGCUGGGUUAGUCGGGACCUAAGGGGCAGCCGAAAGGUGAACUCGAUGGACAGCAGGUUAAUAUUCCUGUACUGAUGAAUGGAAGUGAUGCAGUGACGCAGAAGUGAAAGCGCCGCGGGCGGACGGAAGUGCCCGUUGAAGGCCGUAGGUAUUGGGAGGGUAGUUAAGUACGCCCACCUAGCCGAAAGCUGAUAGUACCGCACGACCUUCGGGUCACGCGGAUAGUGCGCCUAAUCCGACUGCCAAGAAAACCUGCUAAGCGUUUUAACCCAUUUAUCACCCGUACCGCAAACCGACACAGGUAGUCAAGGAGAGCAUCCUGAGGCGCUCGAGUGAAUCACGGCCAAGGAACUCGGCAAAAUGGACCUGUAACUUCGGGAGAAGGGUCGCUUCC